CCCGUAUGUGAACCUGCGGAAGGAUCAUUA
rnacentral:rRNA from 1 species